rnacentral:rRNA from 1 species
UACGUAGGGGGCAAGCGUUGUCCGGAAUCAUUGGGCGUAAAGCGCGUGUAGGCGGCUCGAUAAGUCUGCUGUGAAAGUUCAGGGCUCAACCCUGAAAUGCCGGUGGAAACUGUCGAGCUAGAGUCCGGAAGAGGCGAGUGGAAUUCCUGGUGUAGCGGUGAAAUGCGCAGAUAUCAGGAGGAACACCGGUGGCGAAGGCGGUUCUCUGGGCCUUGCCUGACGCUGAGGAGCGAAAGCGUGGGGAGCGAACAGG